rnacentral:rRNA from 1 species
AGUGGCGGACGGGUGAGUAAUGCGUGAGCAACCUGCCCUUCAGAGGGGGACAACAGUUGGAAACGACUGCUAAUACCGCAUAAUGUAUUGAGAAGGCAUCUUUUUGAUACCAAAGAUUUAUCGCUGAAGGAUGGGCUCACGUCUGAUUAGCUAGUUGGUGAGGUAAUGGCUCACCAAGGCUUCGAUCAGUAGCCGGACUGAGAGGUUGGCCGGCCACAUUGGGACUGAGAUACGGCCCAGACUCCUACGGGAGGCAGCAGUGGGGAAUAUUGGGCAAUGGGCGCAAGCCUGACCCAGCAACGCCGCGUGAAGGAAGAAGGCUUUCGGGUUGUAAACUUCUUUUGGCAGGGACGAAACAAAUGACGGUACCUGCAGAAUAAGCUCCGGCUAACUACGUGCCAGCAGCCGCGGUAAUACGUAGGGAGCAAGCGUUAUCCGGACUUACUGGGUGUAAAGGGCGCGUAGGCGGGAAUGCAAGUCAGAUGUGAAAUCUGAGGGCUCAACCCUCAAACUGCAUUUGAAACUGUAUUUCUUGAGUGAUGGAGAGGCAAGUGGAAUUCCUAGUGUAGCGGUGAAAUGCGUAGAUAUUAGGAGGAACACCAGUGGCGAAGGCGACUUGCUGGACGUUAACUGACGCUGAGGCGCGAAAGCGUGGGGAGCGAACAGGAUUAGAUACCCUGGUAGUCCACGCU